GGGGCGCUGCGGUGUGCUAUACAUGCAAGUCGUACGCACUGGCCCAACUGAUUGAUGGUGCUUGCACCUGAUUGACGAUGGAUCACCAGUGAGUGGCGGACGGGUGAGUAACACGUAGGUAACCUGCCCCGGAGCGGGGGAUAACAUUUGGAAACAGAUGCUAAUACCGCAUAACAACAAAAGCCACAUGGCUUUUGCUUGAAAGAUGGCUUUGGCUAUCACUCUGGGAUGGACCUGCGGUGCAUUAGCUAGUUGGUAAGGUAACGGCUUACCAAGGCGAUGAUGCAUAGCCGAGUUGAGAGACUGAUCGGCCACAAUGGAACUGAGACACGGUCCAUACUCCUACGGGAGGCAGCAGUAGGGAAUCUUCCACAAUGGGCGCAAGCCUGAUGGAGCAACACCGCGUGAGUGAAGAAGGGUUUCGGCUCGUAAAGCUCUGUUGUUGGAGAAGAACGUGCGUGAGAGUAACUGUUCACGCAGUGACGGUAUCCAACCAGAAAGUCACGGCUAACUACGUGCCAGCAGCCGCGGUAAUACGUAGGUGGCAAGCGUUAUCCGGAUUUAUUGGGCGUAAAGCGAGCGCAGGCGGUUGCUUAGGUCUGAUGUGAAAGCCUUCGGCUUAACCGAAGAAGUGCAUCGGAAACCGGGCGACUUGAGUGCAGAAGAGGACAGUGGAACUCCAUGUGUAGCGGUGGAAUGCGUAGAUAUAUGGAAGAACACCAGUGGCGAAGGCGGCUGUCUGGUCUGCAACUGACGCUGAGGCUCGAAAGCAUGGGUAGCGAACAGGAUUAGAUACCCUGGUAGUCCAUGCCGUAAACGAUGAGUGCUAGGUGUUGGAGGGUUUCCGCCCUUCAGUGCCGGAGCUAACGCAUUAAGCACUCCGCCUGGGGAGUACGACCGCAAGGUUGAAACUCAAAGGAAUUGACGGGGGCCCGCACAAGCGGUGGAGCAUGUGGUUUAAUUCGAAGCUACGCGAAGAUCUUACCAGGUCUUGACAUCUUGCGCUAACCUUAGAGAUAGGCGUUCCCUUCGGGACGCAAUGACAGGUGUGCAUGGUCGUCGUCAGCUCGUGUCGUGAGAUGUUGGGUA
rnacentral:rRNA from 1 species